GCUUGUCUCAAAGAUUAAGCCAUGCAUGUCUAAGUAUAAACAAAUCUAUACUGUGAAACUGCGAAUGGCUCAUUAUAUCAGUUAUAGUUUAUUUGAUGGUUCUUGCUACUUGGAUAACCGUAGUAAUUCUAGAGCUAAUACAUGCACAAAAUCCCGACUUACGAAGGGAUGUAUUUAUUAGAUACAAACCAACAUCGUGGUGAUUCAUAAUAACUUUGCGAAUCGUAUGCCUCACGGCGACGAUGAAUCAUUCAAAUUUCUGCCCUAUCAGCUUUGGAUGGUAGGGUAUUGGCCUACCAUGGCUUUAACGGGUAACGGAGAAUUAGGGUUCGAUUCCGGAGAGGGAGCCUGAGAAAUGGCUACCACAUCCAAGGAAGGCAGCAGG
rnacentral:rRNA from 1 species